CACUUCAAAACUCACGUUUUAAGACUAUUCAAACUAUUCAAGGACCCAUUUGCCUGAUGCCCUACUUCUGGUUGGAGAGCUCAUCACUUGGAAACUACUCACUGCAGCUGAGGAUGGCCUCAUACGGACAGCCUAAAGAUACACCGAAACCAUGAAGACGGCUUUGACACAGUUGCAUUUUUUGACUAUACAACAAACACAGCUAUAGAAGGGAAUUAUUUAUAAUCUCAGUAUCCGGUAUCACUCAGAUGAGGAUAGGUUCCUUUUGUAGUCUGGUUCAUCGCAAGGUUUCUUGUCAUUUUAGGGAAUUUUUUUCUUGCCACCAUUGCCUCUGGCACCCUCAUUAGGUACAAAAUUCUAAAUUUUAAAUUUAUGCCCUGAAUGUAUAUAUCUCUGUAAAGCUGCUUUGUGACAAUGUCCAUUGUUAUAAGCGCUAUACAAAUAAAAUGUAAUUGAAUUUAA